AUGGUUGCAUUCUGCAUAGAUUUAUGACGUGGGUCAGGGUCCACCCAGCUCCAGGGAACAGCAAUGCGUGCAAGCCCACCGGUUUGAAGUGGACGGGUGAAACAAUGUUGGAUCGGGCGGGAAAGGAUGAGCCCCCGUUACUACCGGCAAAAAGGGUUUGCCACAAAGGUCAAAGGUGAACUUCUU
rnacentral:sRNA from 16 species